rnacentral:misc_RNA from 1 species
GCUUCCAGAGUUGUCAAGCCUUCUUCCAGGCUCCUCACCUCCCAAAACCCUAGAAAUCUCCUCCAUUUUCGACCCAUUGUCUCCACCACUGAGCUUCACAACGCUGAUGCCUCCGCCGCCCCGGCCCAGGCCGAUCCUGCCCCGCCCCCUCCUCCUCGGACCCCUCUCGCUGGCGCUCGCGUCCAUUUUUCCUCUCCUGAGGACGCCAUCGAGGUCUUCGUUGAUGGGUACCCUGUCAAAAUCCCUAAGGGUAUGACGGUGCUUCAGGCCUGUGAGAUCGCUGGGAUUGACAUUCCUAGAUUUUGUUAUCAUAGUCGUCUUUCGAUCGCUGGGAAUUGCCGUAUGUGCCUUGUUGAAGUUGAGAAAUCCCCCAAGCCUGUUGCUUCUUGCGCUAUGCCCGCCCUUCCUGGAAUGAAAAUUAAGACUGAUACCCCACUGGCAAAAAAGGCUCGAGAAGGAGUGAUGGAAUUCUUGUUGAUGAAUCAUCCAUUGGAUUGCCCAAUUUGUGAUCAGGGUGGAGAAUGUGAUCUUCAGGAUCAGUCUAUGGCAUUUGGGUCUGAUCGUGGACGGUUUACUGACGUGAAGAGAUCAGUAGUGGACAAGAACCUUGGUCCCCUUGUGAAAACUGUAAUGACACGAUGUAUUCAGUGUACCAGGUGUGUGAGAUUUGCUACAGAGGUUGCUGGGGUUCAAGAUCUUGGCAUGUUAGGUCGUGGUAGUG